GCACCCGUAGCUCAGUAGGAUAGAGCGUCCCCCUCCUAAGGGGAAGGCCGGGGGUUCGAUUCCCUUCGUGUGCA
rnacentral:tRNA from 1 species